GCAAGUCGAACGAACUCUGGUAUUGAUUGGUGCUUGCAUCAUGAUUUACAUUUGAGUGAGUGGCGAACUGGUGAGUAACACGUGGGAAACCUGCCCAGAAGCGGGGGAUAACACCUGGAAACAGAUGCUAAUACCGCAUAACAACUUGGACCGCAUGGUCCGAGUUUGAAAGAUGGCUUCGGCUAUCACUUUUGGAUGGUCCCGCGGCGUAUUAGCUAGAUGGUGAGGUAACGGCUCACCAUGGCAAUGAUACGUAGCCGACCUGAGAGGGUAAUCGGCCACAUUGGGACUGAGACACGGCCCAAACUCCUACGGGAGGCAGCAGUAGGGAAUCUUCCACAAUGGACGAAAGUCUGAUGGAGCAACGCCGCGUGAGUGAAGAAGGGUUUCGGCUCGUAAAACUCUGUUGUUAAAGAAGAACAUAUCUGAGAGUAACUGUUCAGGUAUUGACGGUAUUUAACCAGAAAGCCACGGCUAACUACGUGCCAGCAGCCGCGGUAAUACGUAGGUGGCAAGCGUUGUCCGGAUUUAUUGGGCGUAAAGCGAGCGCAGGCGGUUUUUUAAGUCUGAUGUGAAAGCCUUCGGCUCAACCGAAGAAGUGCAUCGGAAACUGGGAAACUUGAGUGCAGAAGAGGACAGUGGAACUCCAUGUGUAGCGGUGAAAUGCGUAGAUAUAUGGAAGAACACCAGUGGCGAAGGCGGCUGUCUGGUCUGUAACUGACGCUGAGGCUCGAAAGUAUGGGUAGCAAACAGGAUUAGAUACCCUGGUAGUCCAUACCGUAAACGAUGAAUGCUAAGUGUUGGAGGGUUUCCGCCCUUCAGUGCUGCAGCUAACGCAUUAAGCAUUCCGCCUGGGGAGUACGGCCGCAAGGCUGAAACUCAAAGGAAUUGACGGGGGCCCGCACAAGCGGUGGAGCAUGUGGUUUAAUUCGAAGCUACGCGAAGAACCUUACCAGGUCUUGACAUACUAUGCAAAUCUAAGAGAUUAGACGUUCCCUUCGGGGACAUGGAUACAGGUGGUGCAUGGUUGUCGUCAGCUCGUGUCGUGAGAUGUUGGGUUAAGUCCCGCAACGAGCGCAACCCUUAUUAUCAGUUGCCAGCAUUAAGUUGGGCACUCUGGUGAGACUGCCGGUGACAAACCGGAGGAAGGUGGGGAUGACGUCAAAUCAUCAUGCCCCUUAUGACCUGGGCUACACACGUGCUACAAUGGAUGGUACAACGAGUUGCGAACUCGCGAGAGUAAGCUAAUCUCUUAAAGCCAUUCUCAGUUCGGAUUGUAGGCUGCAACUCGCCUACAUGAAGUCGGAAUCGCUAGUAAUCGCGGAUCAGCAUGCCGCGGUGAAUACGUUCCCGGGCCUUGUACACACCGCCCGUCACACCAUGAGAGUUUGUAACACCCAAAGUCGGUGGGGUAACC
rnacentral:rRNA from 1 species